rnacentral:rRNA from 1 species
GACGUAGGGCGCGAGCGUUGUCCGGAUUUAUUGGGCGUAAAGAGCUCGUAGGCGGCUUGUCGCGUCGUCCGUGAAAACCUGCAGCUCAACUGCAGGCUUGCGGUCGAUACGGGCAGGCUGGAGUUCGGUAGGGGAGACUGGAAUUCCUGGUGUAGCGGUGAAAUGCGCAGAUAUCAGGAGGAACACCGGUGGCGAAGGCGGCAUCCUGGACCGGUAUUGACGCUGAGGCGCGAAAGCCAGGGGAGCAAACGGG